rnacentral:misc_RNA from 1 species
UUUCCGUAGGUGAACCUGCGGAAGGAUCAUUAAUGAGUUGUCAUGGGGUUCGAUGCUGGCAGCCAGUUUUUGGAUGCAUGUGCUUGCCCUAACAAUCAUCUUCUUCCAAACACCUGUGCACAUUUUUGAGGGAGUCUUGAGUUGGUUGCCGCUCUUGGGUGAUUUUCUCACAUUCCCUUAAAUCAUUAUACGCUAUUAACAAUGUUGAACGUGCUCUGUGCCGCAAGGCCAUUAAUAUAAUACAACUUUUAACAACGGAUCUCUUGGCUCUC